UCCGCUGCAACACUUAAUCUAUUCUACUUUAUUGAUGUGUUGUACAGAUUUUAAAUCAAUAGUUUUAAGAAUUAUGUCACUUCAAAGUUAGACAACUUGUCGUUGUGUAUUGUAAGUUGUCUACUCAUGAGUUUUAAAAGUGGUUGCCUACGAUUAUUCAAUACUAUAGUGAUUGCUUAUGAUUACUAAGUAUUAUGGUAAAUUAUUAUUAUUAUUA
rnacentral:lncRNA from 1 species